rnacentral:rRNA from 1 species
AUUGAACGCUGGCGGCAGGCCUAACACAUGCAAGUCGAGCGGAUGAAGGGAGCUUGCUCCUGGAUUCAGCGGCGGACGGGUGAGUAAUGCCUAGGAAUCUGCCUGGUAGUGGGGGAUAACGUCCUGAAACGGGCGCUAAUACCGCAUACGUCCUGAGGGAGAAAGUGGGUGAUCUUCGGACCUCACGCUAUCAGAUGAGCCUAGGUCGGAUUAGCUAGUUGGUGGGGUAAAGGCAUACCAAGGCGACGAUCCGUAACUGGUCUGAGAGGAUGAUCAGUCACACUGGAACUGAGACACGGUCCAGACUCCUACGGGAGGCAGCAGUGGGGAAUAUUGGACAAUGGGCGAAAGCCUGAUCCAGCCAUGCCGCGUGUGUGAAGAAGGUCUUCGGAUUGUAAAGCACUUUAAGUUGGGAGGAAGGGCAGUAAGUUAAUACCUUGCUGUUUUGACGUUACCAACAGAAUAAGCACCGGCUAACUUCGUG